UACGUAGGGUGCGAGCGUUGUUCGGAAUUACUGGGCGUAAAGGGCUCGUAGGCGGCCAACUAAGUCGGACGUGAAAUCCCUCGGCUUAACCGGGGAACUGCGUCCGAUACUGGAUGGCUUGAGUUUGGGAGAGGGAGGCGGAAUUCCAGGUGUAGCGGUGAAAUGCGUAGAUAUCUGGAGGAACACCGGUGGCGAAGGCGGCAUCCUGGACCAAUACUGACGCUGAGGAGCGAAAGCCAGGGGAGCAAACGGG
rnacentral:rRNA from 1 species